CUACCGGGGUAUCUAAUCCUGUUCGCUCCCCACGCUUUCGCUCCUCAGCGUCAGUAACGGCCCAGAGACCUGCCUUCGCCAUUGGUGUUCUUCCCGAUAUCUACACAUUCCACCGUUACACCGGGAAUUCCAGUCUCCCCUACCGCACUCCAGCCCGCCCGUACCCGGCGCAGAUCCACCGUUAGGCGAUGGACUUUCACACCGGACGCGACGAACCGCCUACGAGCCCUUUACGCCCAAUAAAUCCGGAUAACGCUCGCACCCUACGUAUUACCGCGGCUGCUGGCAC
rnacentral:rRNA from 1 species